rnacentral:rRNA from 1 species
GACGAACCGUGCGAACGUUGUUCGGAUUCACUGGGCUUAAAGGGCGCGUAGGCGGGCGAUCAAGUCAGGGGUGAAAUCUUUCGGCUCAACCGGAAAAGUGCCUUUGAUACUGGUCGCCUCGAGGGAGGUAGGGGCAUGCGGAACUUCCGGUGGAGCGGUGAAAUGCGUAGAUAUCGGAAGGAACGCCGGUGGCGAAAGCGGCGUGCUGGACCUCUUCUGACGCUGAGGCGCGAAAGCCAGGGGAGCGAACGGG